rnacentral:rRNA from 1 species
GACGAACGCUGGCGGCGUGCUUAACACAUGCAAGUCGAACGGAAAGGCCCUGCUUUUGUGGGGUGCUCGAGUGGCGACCGGGUGAGUAACACGUGAGUAACCUGCCCUUGACUUUGGGAUAACUUCAGGAAACUGGGGCUAAUACCGGAUAGGAGCUCCCGCUGCAUGGUGGGGGUUGGAAAGUUUCGGCGGUUGGGGAUGGACUCGCGGCUUAUCAGCUUGUUGGUGGGGUAGUGGCUUACCAAGGCUUUGACGGGUAGCCGGCCUGAGAGGGUGACCGGACACACAUGGACUGAGAUACGGCCCAGACUGCCACGGGAGGCAGCAGUGGGGAAUAUUGCAAAAUGAGAGGAAGCCUGAUGCAGCAACGCCGCGUGCGGGAUGAUGGCGUGCGGGUUGUAAACGGCUUUGGCCUGUGACGAAGCGUGAGUGACGGUAAUGGGUAAAUAAGCUCCGGCUAAGUACGUG